AUGCUCGCUUUGGCAUCACCUUUAUUAAAAUGGGAACGAUGCAGAGAAGAUUCGCAUCACCCUUGCUCAAGGAGGAUAUGCAAAUUCAUGAAGCAUUCCAUAUGAGU
ensembl:snRNA U6 U6 spliceosomal RNA